GACGAACGCUGGCGGCGUGCCUAACACAUGCAAGUCGAACGGAACUGUUUUGAAAGAUUUCUUCGGAAUGAAUUUGAUUUAGUUUAGUGGCGGACGGGUGAGUAACGCGUGAGUAACCUGCCUUCAAGAGGGGGAUAACAUUCUGAAAAGAAUGCUAAUACCGCAUGACAUAUCGGAACCACAUGGUUCUGAUAUCAAAGAUUUUAUCGCUUGAAGAUGGACUCGCGUCCGAUUAGUUAGUUGGUGAGGUAACGGCUCACCAAGACCGCGAUCGGUAGCCGGACUGAGAGGUUGAACGGCCACAUUGGGACUGAGACACGGCCCAGACUCCUACGGGAGGCAGCAGUGGGGAUAUUGCGCAAUGGGGGCAACCCGUGACGCAGCAACGCCGCGUGAAGGAUGAAGGUUUUCGGAUU
rnacentral:rRNA from 1 species